rnacentral:lncRNA from 1 species
CACAGAGGUUUAUUGAGAGAUGGGAGGAGGCAGCGGGGAGGACAGGAGACCCCGACUCCACACCGGCUUCCGGGACGGAGGACUCCAGAGAGCGUCCCAGGCGCCUGCGUUUGCGGGGAGCUGCCACCACUCCAGAACGUUCCAUCUCUGCCACGGUCUGCUCAAGCAGCCCUGCGUCCUCCCCAGGUGACUCAGUCCAGGGUCAGAGUCUGGGCUACAGGCAUCCGCGGAGAAGGCACCCCCCGGGGGUCCCCGGCACCCAGCCCUGCUGCUCACAGCUCCCGGGGAAGUGCUCCGCACCCCGGCCUUGGCUGACCCCGGCUGACCCCUGGGCCGCUGCUCAACUGGGCCUGGCCAGCCCCCGGCGGCGGGGAGCCCACCUGCACACAUGCCUUGGACCUCGGGGGGACGCAGCCUCGGCUUUUAACCGCUGGACCCCCCUCGUCUCCUGCUUGCGGCCACCCCCAGGGCCACCCAAUCUCACAUCCGACUUAAAACUGUCAGCCACCCCACUGCAGGCCAGGCUGGGGGGCGGCCCCCGGUUCAAGGGCUUUAGGGCGGGGUCCACAGGAGGCUCCACGCACCCACAGCAGCCGGCGCCCCCGUCCCAGCCACACCGCAGCCCGGGGGGUACACGGCCUGCCCCCCACGGCCUGCAGGCAGCUCCCAGGGGAGGCCGUAGAAGGGUUUCUGGAGCCGAGCUGGGAGCCUCCUCACCAGGGAGAGCCCCCGAGGGUCAGGAUGGCCCAUCUUCGCCCCUGGGCCAAGGGAGUGACCCCAAAGCCCAAACAGGAGGGAGGCUGGGGGGCCAGGAGGCCACGAGCAUAGGGCGUCCCCCCCUAGGCUCAGGAUUCCAGAGGCAUCCACGGUGAGGCUGGGAAGGGAGCAGGAAGCCCAACCACAGCGGCUGGGCAGGGACACCAUGCUCCGGAAGAGCUCCAAGAGCACCUCUCUGCACCCCUGACCGGCCCCCUGCACCCGUCACUGGCCCCCAGCGCCCCUCACUGGUCCCCGGCACCCCUCACUGGCCCCCGUACACCCCUCACUGGCCCCCUGCACCUUUCACUGGUCUUCUGCACACCUCACUGGUCCCCUGCACUCCUCACUGGCCCCCUGCACCCCUCAUUGGUCCCCUGCAUCCCUCACUGGCCCCCCUGUACCCCUCACUGGCCCUCUGCACCCCUCAUUGGCCCCUUGUACCCUUCACUGGCCCCCUGCACCCCUCACUGGCUCCCCUGCACCCCUCUGCACUCCUCACCAGCUCCCUGUACCCUUCGCUGGCCUCCUGUACCCUCACUGGCCCCCUGCACACCUCACCGGCCCCCUGCACCCCUCUGCACUCCUCACCAGCUCCCUGCACCCCUCACCGGCCCCCUAACCCUCUGGCCGUAAGGCCUCCCUGGAAGACAGAUCCCCACCACCAACCCCCAUGGGAAGGAGAUGAGGCCCAGUCCCCACCCCAAGUUGGGGUGUCUGUUCCCACAGGAAGCCCCAAAGUCACCCUGCCCUGACUUCAGCCUUGUGAAGUGUCAUCUCCCAUGACAAAAGCGCUUUGCACACCAGGCCAUGUGUGCGCAUAAAGUGCUCUGAAGGUCCCUUAUCUGUAUCACAGUGAGAGCCGGGGGCCACCCGUGUCCCAUAAGGCUGUGACCCUGCUGUCCUGGACAGAUGAGCCAACUGAGGCACCCCUUUUGUCAUGUGCCGGACACUGUCAACACUGAUUUCCUCAAUGAGGCCAGCCUGACCCCGCCCAGCCCCUGCAGAUUUAAGACGGGGUCAGCUACCCAUCGGUGCAGGGGUGAGGGCUGAGGCAGCUGCAGGGCCCACGGGGUGUCCAGCGAGUUGUGCUCACACAUGGUGACAAGGAGGGGGUGGGCCAGGCAGGUGUCGUCUCCAGGGGUCCCUCGGGGGAGAGAUAGGCAGGGGAAAGGGGGGAGAAGGUGGCUGUACCCCAGAAGAGCGAGGUUCCCAGGUACCAGGGGUGUGAGCUCCCAGGAGCAGGAGGGAGCUUCGUGGUCCUGAAGUUUAGGGACCCGCUGGUCUUCCCUGGAGGGAGGUGUCCGCUCGGGGACACUCCUGAAGGGUGAGGCUCCCAGAAAGGCCCAGAAGGAGGGCCCUGCAGCCCAACUCUGGGCUCAGGGUGAUAAGGAGAGGACCCUUCUGGUGUGUCCAGGGUCCUCGGAAAGGGGCCGGGAGGGAAGGGGCCCCUCCGCACUCCCCAUGCACCCCUGAAGAGCUGCGUUCGGGUGAAAGCCAGGCUUUGGGCUAAUUCUGGUGAUAGAGGAAAUGGGGAGCUCCGCGGCAGCGCGACAGGGCCCCCACAGGGCUAAGGCUCCCCACGUGAAGGAGAGGCACCCCCAGACAUGAGUGGCAGCCGCAGGACCCUGGCAUCUGCCCCCACACCUCUGUCGGCUCCCCUCCGUCGGGCACACCCAUGGGUGGUGAGCUCCUUGGGUGGGGGGGCCCCUCUCCCCACAGCGUGCACCCUGGGAUGGAUGGGGAAGGAGGACCAAACCGCCCAAGGAGCCUGUGCGCCCUGCUGCUCGGCCAGCGGCAGUGCUUACCUGCGCCCCGGAGAGGGACAGGCCACGGGGGCGGCGCCGGGCCCUGCCUCCUGUCCCCCCACACCUAGUCUGGGUGGCGGGCGCGGGAGAGUAUUUGGGACCUGUCAGUCGUUCCUUUUUAAUGCACCAUGAUCGGUGAAGUCAGGACCUUCCUCGUUUGGAUGGGCCUUUGGGGGUGUCCGCUGUGGGGUCUGGGUCUCUGAAUCCGCGCAGACAGGAUCCCGUGUUCACGGCCCACUUCAGGUCACGUGACGCUCUCCAGGUACAAACCUCUUGUGACCUGUACACCUUAAGUUCAUAAGCAAUUUAUCCCAAUGUGUGCCUCCCCCUCCCCGGAUAUUUGAAGCAAUUUAAAAAUAAGCACUCAUAAAAAAGACCUCAAAAAAUAAAACUCGCAGUUAGGUAGGUGGGGGUCACGUCCACCCCGAAGGUCACGCAGCACAGGUAAGAGUCAGCGCAGAGCGAGUUCUGAGGCCAAGAGAGGGCGGGAGGCGGAGUCCCUGCUGCCGGCAGGAGGGCACCAACCCGCUGCGGGGCCUUGGACACCCAGCGCCGGUCCUGCCGUCCUUGAGAGGGAGCCGCUUUCGGGGCCAAGGCGCGGCCCGAGCCAGGAUGCGGGCCCCAAGCCGGGCACACAGGGCAGGCCUCGGGGCAGGGGCACCGGCCUGGCCGCGGACACUGCCCCCUGGGUGAUCCGGACCUUUCUCCCGUUUCUGUCCGUGGUUUUCUUGGGUCUGGGGCUUCAGGGUUCUUGCCCCACUCCCCGGAGUGGCGUUGGCCCCAGCGUUGCCCUUACCCAACGCUCCGAGAAUAAACAAAGCCGUUCAAAGUUUAGUGUGAAGGACACGUUGCACUUACCUCUCGAGUGUAACCCGGUCUCUACUAUGUUCUGGAGACAGUUUGGUGGUCAGAUGGGCUCGGGGAACGCUACCAGGGGGACAAGGCCAACGAGUCCUGCUGCGUAGGAUGCUCUGUGCCGUCCACAGAGGAGUCUACACCCCACGGUCCGCAGGGCAGGCCUCACGCGCGUGGGCGAGCACACUCUUCUCGUGAUGCCGUCACACCCUAGGGGCGCCACGUGGAUGAAGCCGCAGAGCGCAAGGGACGUGGACAGACGGGCCGGGCUGGAGUCCCAGCUGGGUGGCCGCCCGACGGAGUGGUGGUGGGCAAUGCCACUUCUCAGGCUCGGGCUUCCUGGCCCGUCAAGUGGGCCGAUGGCAACAUUGUGGGUUGGAGCGGGGCGGGGUGGCUUGAAGGCAGCGCGAGAAGGGCUCUGUGGGGUGGGGCGCCGCGCAGGAGGGGCUGUGAGGUCCCCUGCUCCGCGGCGAAAGCACAGGUCGGUCGCCAUCUGCUACCCGAGUGUCGGGGCCGAGGUCGGCGGUGCCCUGCUUCAGGCAGCAGGCACUAGGGCACGGGGCUGACGGGGUCCUUGGCCACGGGGGCGCUGGGCAGGGACUUCAGGUACUCCAGGUGCUUCCGGGCAUCCUCCUGGUUCUGGCGCACGUAGUACACGACGUAGGUGAUCACCAUGGCGAACCAGCCGAACAUGGUGACCAGCAUGGCCACGUCGGUGGUCUUGUGGUGGGUGCUGCAGAAGCUGACACCGGAGUCCAGGGCCUGGAUCAGGGGCUUCCCCACGUACUC